rnacentral:rRNA from 1 species
AGCGAACGCUGGCGGCAGGCCUAACACAUGCAAGUCGAACGAACUCUUCGGAGUUAGUGGCGGACGGGUGAGUAACACGUGGGAACGUGCCUUUAGGUUCGGAAUAACUCAGGGAAACUUGUGCUAAUACCGAAUGUGCCCUUCGGGGGAAAGAUUUAUCGCCUUUAGAGCGGCCCGCGUCUGACUAGCUAGUUGGUGAGGUAAAGGCUCACCAAGGCGACGAUCAGUAGCUGGUCUGAGAGGAUGAUCAGCCACAUUGGGACUGAGACACGGUCCAAACUCCUACGGGAGGCAGCAGUGGGGAAUCUUGCGCAAUGGGCGAAAGCCUGACGCAGCCAUGCCGCGUGAAUGAUGAAGGUCUUAGGAUUGUAAAAUUCUUUCACCGGGGACGAUAAUGACGGUACCCGGAGAAGAAGCCCCGGCUAACUUCGUG